UUUAAACACUUGGAAGUAGAGGGCACAGACUGGGUUGAACCGUAGAUUUCCAUUUGUAUGCCCACUGGGAGUGGAAAGUCUGCCCUGUGCAAGUUUCUCAAGCUACUGGUUGAUAGCUCCUCCUUAACAGUUGCAGUUGCAGUUCAUUAAGUCGGAAUAACAGUCUGUUGCUUUGCAUCAGUUCUAAACAAGGCAAUGGUGCCAAGCAGUUCCAGAGAGGUAACGAAUUCUGACCCAUCCUGGUGCCUUGACGACCAGUCGUUCAAGAAGAUGGGAGCUCUGAUGGCUGAAAAUCACAGCAAACUGAUUGGCGUGUACGAUGAGUUAGCCACGUUCCUGUCACAGAUAAAUGUGUUUAGAUACAGAGGACUCUGUACGUUCCUGCAAUUGUAUGGUGGUAGUUCAUGGACUCUGCAGAACAGUAUGCAGUUCGUGUGAGUCUGGACCAGAAGGAUCCACCCCUGUGAGCGGCCGAGGACUCCAGGACGUGAGA